AACGAACGCUGGCGGCAGGCCUAACACAUGCAAGUCGAGCGCCCGUAGCAAUACGGGAGCGGCAGACGGGUGAGUAACACGUGGGAACGUGCCCAAAGGUACGGAACAACUCCGGGAAACUGGAGCUAAUACCGUAUGUGCCCGAAAGGGGAAGAUUUAUCGCCUUUGGAUCGGCCCGCGUCUGAUUAGCUAGUUGGUGAGGUAAUGGCUCACCAAGGCGACGAUCAGUAGCUGGCUGAGAGGAUGAUCAGCCACACUGGGACUGAGACACGGCCCAGACUCCUACGGGAGGCAGCAGUGGGGAAUAUUGGACAAUGGGCGCAAGCCUGAUCCAGCCAUGCCGCGUGAGUGAUGAAGGCCCUAGGGUUGUAAAGC
rnacentral:rRNA from 1 species